rnacentral:rRNA from 1 species
AACGAACGCUGGCGGCAUGCCUAACACAUGCAAGUCGAACGAGACCUUCGGGUCUAGUGGCGCACGGGUGCGUAACGCGUGGGAACCUGCCCUUAGGUUCGGAAUAACUCCCCGAAAGGGGUGCUAAUACCGGAUAAUGUCUUCGGACCAAAGAUUUAUCGCCUUUGGAUGGGCCCGCGUUGGAUUAGCUUGUUGUUAGGGUAAAAGCCUACCAAGGCGACGAUCCAUAGCUGGUCUGAGAGGAUGAUCAGCCACACUGGGACUGAGACACGGCCCAGACUCCUACGGGAGGCAGCAGUGGGUAAUAUUGGAAAAUGGGCGGAAUCCUGAACCAGCAAUGCCGCGUGAGUGAUGAAGGCCUGAGGGUAGUAAAGCUCUUUUACCCGGGAUGAUAAUGACAGUACCGGGAGAAUAAGCUCCGGCUAACUCCGUG